GCACCAGAUCCAUUGUCUGAUGAUUGCUGUGUAGUGGCAACAGGUCCAAUGUCUGCUGCAGGGGAAACAGACUGUGAUUCUUUUCCAUCUGAUGCAGCUUCCUCAUCUAGUUGUGCAGUGCAUUUAUCAAUCCAAUCCUUGAAUUUUGGGUUGUUGGCCUCCAGAGCAGAUCCCGCCUUUAAUGCAGCCAUAGCUGUAUGAUAUUCCUCCAGAGAGAAG
rnacentral:misc_RNA from 1 species